UAGCGCUCCGUGCUCUGGACGUCGCUGGUCACGGUCCGCGGCAGGUGGGUCACAUCCUCCAGUCGCAGCUGCUCAGUGAAGUAUUCCUGCGAAGGGCAGAAUGCGCGUCUUCUUUUAUGGAUCGAUAUCAGCCACCGAUGGCAGCAGUGUGGAGGAGUGCAGGGAGAGGGUUCAGCUUCCUGACAGCCUGAUGGAUGAGGCUGUCGUUCUGCAGGUUUUGGCCUGUAGGCUCCUCGGCCUCCGUCCUGAUGGAGCUGUGACACAGGUGAACCUACUUGCUCCAAAAAAUGCAUUACGCAAUCCAUAAAGCAAUUAAUUAAUGAGACUGGUUGUUGAGUUGUCACUUUUAAUAGUGAAUUGCCAAUUGACAAAUGAUAACCUUCUACAAAUAGAUUUUAGAAGAAUGUUUCUCAAGCUCACUUUGUAGAUAGAAUCUGCAAAACAAGUAAGAGAGUGGAAUCUAAGUGCAAUAGAGGCUGCAUCAAGCUGGAUGCUACUUAUUAUUGAAUUAUGUUCAAUAAUAUGCGGCUCAGACAAAGCCUUAGAAGAUUUUUCUAUAGAAUAUAUAAAUAUUGAGUUGCAUUUAAACAACAUUACAAAGAGUAAUACUGAAAUGUGAGUGUUCGUUAUUACAGUGCAGAGUCAAAGCAGACGUUUGCUCACAGAGAGGUUUUAUUUAGCACAAAGAGCAGUCAUCAGUAUAGAAAAUGCUGCAUGUUUCAGUGGAAGUCAAAGAAGCACGUCAGGCAGCCGUGACCCUUUUUGCUCCUGAACCUCAGCGGAAUGUGACUGAAAAGAUUACGGUGCUUGGAAACGGCAGCGUGAGCGUCGCCGCUGCAUGUUCACAAAUUGACAUUAUUACAGAACACCCUCGCAGCGCUGAAAUAUAGAUGAGGGAGAGGAGCAUUUUGGUGCUCAGAGCCGGGUCAAGCAGCCCCUGCAACGUGCACACACACACACACACGCACGCACGCACGCACACACACACACACACACACACACACACACACACACACACACACACACACACACACACACACACACACACGCACUUUGUUUACGUAAUAGUGGGAGCUGAUUACUAAAAGCGAAGAGGCCUUCGCUUUUCCAGGGCUUCAAUUUACAUACAUUAUGAGUGAAAGAACAAGGGAAUGACCGUAGCACAGAUAAAAACACGCCACCUCAUGCAAAAGAAGCAAUACAAAUAUUCAAAGCAAAUGUAUGGCACUUAAGCAAAUGGAAAGGAGAGGGAAUAAAAGGAAGUGAAGGGGGUGAGAGCUAGUCGUAUGUGUGGUGAACCUCCACAACGGCCGUCUGAAUAACUCUGACAUCUGGCAGAGUGGACGUUGGGAGGAUGGUGUCAGGAGGCGACACGAGACACACGUUCCAGGCUGGACGUCGGUGGGAACAGCUGCCACAUGUGUGCGAGAGCGUCGGAGACAUACGUGAGGCUUGAUGGUGAAAGCGGGAGACAGACAGACAGAGAGACGGAGAGGAACGGACUGCAGAGGGACUCGCAUGCAGAGGUUUCUGCAGCUAUUAGCAUAUCUCACUCAUGAGACAUCACUGGAGACCUGCAACAGUUUUCAUGGUGGAUUUUUCCCCACCCGGAACUAUAGCAUUAAAAUUUUCUGUUUGAUGUUGCAGACGCACAUUUUCCCCCUGUCUAUAAACCAAUAAACUCUAAAUCCUGACAGUUCCGAGACCAGUUGUAGACCUCAAGUCUACAUUAUGCGGAGAGGCACUGAGGAACAAGAGGGAACCACAGACAGGAAGUGGAGAUCAAGGCUGAUGUGAUCUCCAGCUGUGUCCAGGAGGGCAACGCUGGAUGGAGGCCGGGAGGCGGUGUAGUUAAUGUAAAUAGUUAUUGUAUUUGUUUUACAGUAGAAAAACGCAAGAUACUGGUUUAGUUAGUUACUGACGCACAUUCAGGUUUUUUACAGACUUUUAGGUAGAAGGAGAGGAUAAGGAGAUGAGGAGAGGAGGUUGGAGGCCUGAAUCAGCUCCUGCUGAAUGUAAAUAUAAAAUGAUCUGUUGUUUUUUGUUAUAUUGAGUCGAAACAAACAUGUUUCAUUAUGUUAAUAUUUUAUGUGAAAGUAGACAUGAAUCAGGAGACGAGGAGGCGAGGAGGCCACGUCAUGUAAAAAUCAACAUAAGUCAUGUUUCCUCUUCAUUCGUAAAUAUUGGAGUAGAAACAAAAAUGUUUUUAUUAUUGUUUAGUUUUGACUUUAGAAAGUUUUCUUUUCCUACUGGUACAAUUAACAGAAUGUGAUUUCUUCUGCAAAUAGCACAUAAUAUUUCAGAAAGCCAAAUUUAGGUAACAAAUUCACAAAAACAAAUGUUUUCUUCACAUGGGCCACCAUCAU